GACGAACCGUACAAACGUUAUUCGGAAUCACUGGGCUUAAAGGGCGCGUAGGCGGCGGCACAAGUUGGGUGUGAAAUCCCUCGGCUCAACCGAGGAACUGCGCUCAAAACUGUGUUGCUUGAGGGAGAUAGAGGUGAGUGGAACUUAGGGUGGAGCGGUGAAAUGCGUUGAUAUCCUAAGGAACACCAGUGGCGAAAGCGACUCACUGGGUCUCUUCUGACGCUGAGGCGCGAAAGCUAGGGUAGCGAACGGG
rnacentral:rRNA from 1 species